UACUAUGUAUCUUAGAAAACAUUUCAGAAGCUGGAAAGUUGUAGCAAGGCAGCCCGCAAGUUCGCCUUAAAUAGACAUUGCUUAAGUGGGGUUUUUGGUAAACCUUUAAUUAUUUAGUUUAGACUUUUGAAGCUGGUACAAGUAAAUGAAUUACAUUAAUCAAUUACUUCAAGUAUUUUCUGACAGUAUACAUGAGUACCAUUAAUCUGAUAUAACCUGAACUAUCUGGCAGCUCUCUGAAUUGGCUUCACACCAUGUGAAGUUGGCUGCGCUUAAUAGCUUUAUGACAGAUUUUACUCACUGACUAAGUGCAAAAAGGGAGACAGUCUUAUGGGAAAAGCAUGCAGUGAGAGCGAGAGAGAUACAUGCUUCAGCUUGGGUUUCCGGUGAAGCUGGGAACAGCGCUGCACGAGAAAUUAUCGUUUUUUACACAUUUCAGAUCCAAUUUGGCUGUCAAAUAAAUAAGGCAAUACAAUUAACUUCCCAGUCAUUCCCAGCCAUCAGUUCUCAAGAACAAAAAAUGUUCUGAUAUAUGUAUAGUAGUAAGUCUGUCCAAAGUCGACGAUAUGUCUGGCCAUCUUUUGCAGAGUGAAUGUUUCUUUGUAAAGUUUUCCUAUUGUUGUGCAUUUGGUCUUUUAUAUGUGUAAGUACGCAAUUAGAAGGCAGAUGUGAACAAAUUUAAGCUCUUUUCCAGGUGAGUCUCUAAAUGUCAUUUAAAAGCAGGCAUCAUGCGGACUAAGAUAGUGGAUAGUGAAUAAGAGAUUAGGGGGAUUUUUGCAAGUCGACUAAAUGCAAUUUGGCGACAAAUCGCAAAUUUGCCCAAAGAGCAAUCCACCUGAUCUCCCUGGCUCCCUAUUCACCUGGGAUCCCUUACACAAUUGACUGGGACGAUGGAGUCAGUCUCAGAAAAUUUCUCAGGCAUCGAUUAGGAAAUGUUUUCUGAGCUUAACUAAGCUAAUCCUCACACUGGACUAACUGUGAGCGAAUUUGGAGCACCUGUAGCACCUAGAAGAGGGUGCAAGGAAUACUGCCGAUACUCCUCCUCAGUCGGAGACAGCUCGAAGGUCUGGCUGGCAAAGGGAAGAGACAGUGCCCCUAAAGCUCGGCAAACGAUUUACGCUUACCAAGAAGCAACAGGCCAUCUUCCAAAAAGUCAAAGUAUGUUUAGGAUAUGACAAGGAUGAUAAUGCAGAAGCGCUGAAGUCAUUGGAAGUAGAUCAGAGUCUAGUGUCCGUGCUGCACCAGUUGACCAUCAGCAUAUCAGAUGCAAUCAAUGAGGGUCUACAUAAAAGGGUUGUAUAUCAGCGCUUUGAAUGGUUCAAGCUCUUGUGAAGAAUCGCAGGAAAACAUCUGGCAUACUCCUGCUCCUCCUGCUUCGAGCAGGGGAACUGGGACCCCUGGGAACUGGCAAGUGACAUAGUGGGCGGUACGGUGAUGGUCGCCAUGAGCUACGACAGAGCUACUGUAGAAUUAUUAGGAUGUUAAUUGACGGGCUCCGUCGCCACGGAAACUUAUUUGCGAUUUAUGCCGUCAUUGCCGUCAUUUGGCCAAUUACGAAGUCUUGUCGUAGAAGACUAUUUGCUGCAUGAGUUAUCGGAAUUCAUGUACAACGGAGGGAGACCCCACAGUGGAAGAGGAAGGAUUAAAUAUUGACUAAGAUAUGUACUCCGGCUAUGAAAACUAUGAACGUCCCUCCUGAUCAAAUGGGCAAAUACUCGUAUGUCGCAUUCUAUGAUCGUUUUGGUGAAACUUUGUACUCUAUGGUUCUUGGAAUUUGUGUACAAGAGGGAGUGGGAUCAGAAGAAUGUAGGGCCAAUUUAGAAAAGGAAGGCCGCAGAUGAACUAUUAGCCAAUUUAGAAACAAAGAGAAAGAACAGAGGAGUUACAUAUAUGCCAAUUUAGAAGCACGAGAAAUGCUGAUUUCCAGGAGGAGGUCACAGACGAAUUAAUGAAAACAGAGCAAAAUUCUGACUGCUGCACUGGAAAAGGCUGACGACGGCCGGAAGAGAGCAACAAAUAUUAAUAUUUGCCCAUAACAAAAGAAAUAAACAGAUUGUGUAUGCCAGGGGAGGCAGCUUUAGUGCCUGCCAGACGGAGAACGAAAGUUUGUUGCCUUCAUGGAAUAGCGAUUAAGCAAAUAUUUAGACAAAUGCGAGUGAAAUGGGUUUGAGUGGAGAUCGGUUCGGUGUGGUGUGGUAUGAAGUAUCGGAAUGAAUGGGUAUCCAAGGUUCAAGGGUCUCUCUCCCUGGGUGCAGCACUCACCUUCAGCUGAUGACGUAGUCCACUCAUUGGGCUCAUUUAAUAUUCAAUAUUGAUGAUACCGGAGAUGAGGAUAAGCAAAGCGUACAGCAAAUGAGGAGAUGCCUCAACAAGUGAUUGCUAGGUGCCGGUGGGGUAGAAAGGGGGCCGCUUUUGGCCUAGUUUCUGUGUUGGUUAUUUAUCGCUAUAUUUACAAGCACUUAAAUGGACUUUAAAUAUUGUAUGUAUAUGUUCGAUUGGCGGCACUUUUACACUUUUUAACGUAUUCUGAUUUACUUUGCAACUGAAUCCCAAGAAUGUCUGAUAACUGGAGCAUUUAUAGUAUGAAUAAUAGUAGAUAAAUCAAAUUCUUUUUCUAUUAUUUAUGGUUUGUUUUUUGCUCAAUAAAUGGAUAUUGUCGUUAGAGAAUUUUUCGGUUUCGGUGCGCGCGCGAUCUGUCGACGAUCGUCUCGCCGCGGAAUCCCAAACAAUAUUGAACAGUUUGCUCGAAAAGCUGCCAAAAAGUGAACAGCGAAAACCAAAAUGUUGUCGAAACAGCAGUUUGGAGAGAGCCGGAGAUCUCUCUGCCUCUCUCGGAGAUCUUACGGCGCAGGAAUUAAGAAAUCUCGCCUCGUUCUGG